rnacentral:rRNA from 2 species
AAUCCAUAGGUUAAUGAGGCGAACCGGGGGAACUGAAACAUCUAAGUACCCCGAGGAAAAGAAAUCAACCGAGAUUCCCCCAGUAGCGGCGAGCGAACGGGGAGGAGCCCAGAGCCUGAAUCAGCAUGUGUGUUAGUGGAAGCGUCUGGAAAGGCGCGCGAUACAGGGUGACAGCCCCGUACACAAAAGCGCAUGUGCUGUGAGCUCGAUGAGUAGGGCGGGACACGUGGUAUCCUGUCUGAAUAUGGGGGGACCAUCCUCCAAGGCUAAAUACUCCUGACUGACCGAUAGUGAACCAGUACCGUGAGGGAAAGGCGAAAAGAACCCCGGCGAGGGGAGUGAAAAAGAACCUGAAACCGUGUACGUACAAGCAGUGGGAGCCCCACCACUAAGCCAGUGGUGAACUCCACAUCCGCAUCCUUUGCUGAGGAUACGGUUA